rnacentral:misc_RNA from 1 species
AAAUAUACAUGUUGAUAUAUAUUUUUCAUAAUGUAGUAAUGAAUAUUAAAAAAUGCCAUUUUACUAAAAAAUUAUAAUUACUCAAGAUUUGCUGGUGAAAUUCGAGUUUAAAUUAAAUACUAUACAUUGAAUUUGGCUCAUUGAAGAAAACCUAAAAAACAGAUCAAACCAAUCCAGUAAAAACCAAUAAAAUCAAUUAGCCGAUGUUUACAAUUCAACUAACCAAACUGCAAUCACCCCAAGUCAUAAUCCAAGUUUAGAUUCCACACUCAUCUUGCAUAAAAAGCUUGAUGUAAUAGUAUUUGAGUAGAAAUGAACAUAAAGUAAUUAAUUAUUUGUGACAUUAACUUUGUCACGAAUAUGACUGAUUUUAAAAUGACUAAGAUAACAGUGUACCCAUAGCAAAAUUAGCUUCAAAAUAUAAACAAGGAAAUUCAAUUGGCACAUCAUGGCUAAGUUGUGCUUCUUUUUUUUGGUAUUGUUACGAUGAUAAUUGGGAAAAUGAGAGGAUUGGAGAUAUAAAUA